AUCAUUAUUGAAUAAACUUGAACAGGCUGUUGCUGGCCCUCCUUGGAGGGAUAUGUGCACGCUUGUCAUCUUUAUUUCUCCAACUGUGCACAUAAUUGUAGACCUUGAUAUUUGAUGGAUUUAUUUUCGAGUUGGGGACUGCUGUGCUUUCUCAAGUCCGCUUUCCCUUGGAUUUUUCAGGGCUAUGUCCUUUAUCACAAACCUCUGAAUCUGGUUAAAAUGGUUAAUCAAGGCAUUUUGUACCUAUAAAGUUAAUAUACAACUUUCAACAACGGAACUCUUGGCUCUCCCAUCCAUGAAAAACGCAACGAAAUGGCAUAAGUAAUGGGAAUUGCAAAAUUCCAUGAAUCCUCCAAUCCUUGAACGCCUCUUGGGCUCCCUGGUAUUCCCAAGAACAUGGCUGUUUGAAUGGCAUCCAAAUCCUCCAACCACAUUGAUUCCUUCCGUGUGGCUUUGGAAGUGGGGGUAAUGGUUGCAGGGUUUAUCUUAAGUCUGCUUCCCUGAAAUGGAUUAAUGGUAUCUGAACAGAAAGAACUACUACCGGUGUGAUAAUUUAUCUAUGCCUUAAUAUACUGGAUAAAACAGAUUACACUGCUUAUAACAAACUUUAUUUCCUUUUUUUGGAGACCUCCAAUCAGGUAAGACUACCCGCUGAACUUAA
rnacentral:rRNA from 1 species